rnacentral:rRNA from 1 species
GAGUUUGAUCCUGGCUCAGGAUGAACGCUAGCGGCAGGCUUAAUACAUGCAAGUCGAACGGUAAAUAUGAUAGCAAUAUUGUAUGAGAGUGACGUACGGGUGCGUAACACGUAUGCAACCUACCCUUUACAGAUGGAUAGCUCGGGGAAACUCGAAUUAACCCGUCAUAAUAUAAUUUAGUGGCAUCAUUGAAUUAUUAAAACUCCGGUGGUAAAGGAUGGGCAUGCGUCUGAUUAGUUAGUUGGCGGGGUAAUGGCCCACCAAGACGAUGAUCAGUAGGGGAACUGAGAGGUUGAUCCCCCACACUGGCACUGAGAUACGGGCCAGACUCCUACGGGAGGCAGCAGUAGGGAAUAUUGGUCAAUGGAUGGAAGUCUGAACCAGCCAUGCCGCGUGCAGGAAGAAGGCCUUCUGGGUUGUAAACUGCUUUUGCCAGGGGCUAAAAAGCUCAUGCGUGGGAAAUUGAAAGUACCUGGUGAAUAAGCCACGGCUAACUACGUGCCAGCAGCCGCGGUAAUACGUAGGUGGCAAGCGUUGUCCGGAUUUAUUGGGUUUAAAGGGUGCGUAGGCGGCUUUGUAAGUCAGUGGUGAAAUAUGGCAGCUCAACUGUCGGAUUGCCAUUGAUACUGCGGAGCUUGAGUACAGAUGAGGUAGGCGGAAUUGACGGUGUAGCGGUGAAAUGCUUAGAUAUCGUCAAGAACACCUAUAGCGAAGGCAGCUUACUAGGCUGUAACUGACGCUGAGGCACGAAAGUGUGGGGAUCAAACAGGAUUAGAUACCCUGGUAGUCCACACUGUAAACGUUGAAGACUCGCUGUGUGCGAUAUACAGUACGCGGCUUAGAGAAAUCGUUAAGUCUUCCACCUGGGGAGUACGCCCGGCAACGGGUGAAACUCAAGGAAUUGACGGGGGUCCGCACAGC